AGAGUUUGAUCCUGGCUCAGGACGAACGCUGGCGGCACGCUUAACACAUGCAAGUCGAACGAGAGAAGAGGAGCUUGCUUUUCUGAUCUAGUGGCGGACGGGUGAGUAACACGUGAGCAAUCUGCCUUUCAGAGGGGGAUACCGAUUGGAAACGAUCGUUAAUACCGCAUAACAUAAUUGAACCGCAUGAUUUGAUUAUCAAAGACUUAUCGCUGAAAGAUGAGCUCGCGUCUGAUUAGCUAGUUGGUAAGGUAACGGCUUACCAAGGCGACGAUCAGUAGCCGGACUGAGAGGUUGAUCGGCCACAUUGGGACUGAGACACGGCCCAGACUCCUACGGGAGGCAGCAGUGGGGAAUAUUGCACAAUGGAGGAAACUCUGAUGCAGCGAUGCCGCGUGAGGGAAGAAGGUUUUAGGAUUGUAAACCUCUGUCUUCAGGGACGAAAAAAGACGGUACCUGAGGAGGAAGCUCCGGCUAACUACGUGCCAGCAGCCGCGGUAAUACGUAGGGAGCGAGCGUUGUCCGGAAUUACUGGGUGUAAAGGGAGCGUAGGCGGGAUCGCAAGUCAGAUGUGAAAACUAUGGGCUUAACCCAUAAACUGCAUUUGAAACUGUGGUUCUUGAGUGAAGUAGAGGUAAGCGGAAUUCCUAGUGUAGCGGUGAAAUGCGUAGAUAUUAGGAGGAACAUCAGUGGCGAAGGCGGCUUACUGGGCUUUAACUGACGCUGAGGCUCGAAAGCGUGGGGAGCAAACAGGAUUAGAUACCCUGGUAGUCCACGCCGUAAACGAUGAUUACUAGGUGUGGGGGGACUGACCCCUUCCGUGCCGCAGCAAACGCAAUAAGUAAUCCACCUGGGGAGUACGACCGCAAGGUUGAAACUCAAAGGAAUUGACGGGGGCCCGCACAAGCAGUGGAGUAUGUGGAUUAAUUCGAAGCAACGCGAAGAACCUUACCAGGUCUUGACAUCGUAUGCAUAGCUCAGAGAUGAGUGAAAUCUCUUCGGAGACAUAUAGACAGGUGGUGCAUGGUUGUCGUCAGCUCGUGUCGUGGGAUGUUGGGUUAAGUCCCGCAACGAGCGCAACCCUUACUGUUAGUUGCUACGCAAGAGCACUCUAGCAGGACUGCCGUUGACAAAACGGAGGAAGGUGGGGAUGACGUCAAAUCAUCAUGCCCCUUAUGACCUGGGCCUCACACGUACUACAAUGGCUGUCAACAGAGGGAAGCAAAGCCGCGAGGUGGAGCGAACCCCUAAAAGCAGUCUUAGUUCGGAUUGUAGGCUGCAACCCGCCUACAUGAAGUCGGAAUUGCUAGUAAUCGCAGAUCAGCAUGCUGCGGUGAAUACGUUCCCGGGCCUUGUACACACCGCCCGUCACGCCAUGGGAGUCGGUAACACCCGAAGCCUGUAGUCUAACCGCAAGGAGGACGCAGUCGAAGGUGGGACUGAUGACUGGGGUGAAGUCGUAACAAGGUA
rnacentral:rRNA from 1 species